CCCUAUAUCACGUUUAGUUUUUGGCAGCCCCUUUUCACAGGCAUUUUCGAAAUUUAAAGAGGCACUAAAGUCAUUUUUUAAUGUUUUCGAGUUAAGUUGAAAUGGAAGAGUGCCCGUUGAAGUUUGUCAUCUUUGUAUUUUUUUGUUUUGUUUUGUUUGUAAAUUGUUGGUUUUGAAAUCGGUCACAGGGUAACAUCCCACCGUGCCCAAUCAUGCAAGUACCUGCCCUCUUCAUUUUUCUUCCACAUCCACUAAUGUGCAUUGAGUAGGUAGGCAAGCUUGUUUUGAGUGGCCACUUCCUGGUUCUAAAAUGUGUCGCAUUAAGCAUACAGUAGAUUAAAGGAGCAUGUAAGCAUUUUGGAACCAGGAAGUCUUGCCUUCUGACUGAAAUACUCCUCUGCACGCACGGAUCCCUGCUGAAGUGAGGGUGUGAGGGUGGAAUCUCCUCUCCGAACUUGGCACUGUGGGCGGCGUUCUUUGCUUCAAACAAGACCUGCACGCACCAGCUUCGCAUGCGUAGCACCAAACAGAGAGGUCACAGAAGCUCAGCACCACAGGAUGAUCGGCCAUCAUGCCGUGCAUCAACAUGUGCUCACUGAUGUAGCGGCCGCAUGCCACCUGACGUGGAAAACAAGUGUCACAUCAUGAGAUACGCACAGGGAAAUCUUAUUUACCGUAUCAGAGUACAUGUAUAUUUUAAAUUUUUUUAUUAAUUGAAUUAUUUGCUUCUCUUUUUAACCACAUCCAUCCAUCUGUCCUUUGCAAUGUCACCUUGUAGCAGCUAAGGCAGAUCCAGUUCUCCGCCUCCGAGCCACAGUCUUGACAAGGCAUGAAGACAUCAAUACCGGACGUGGGCAGGGGCUUGACGGUGUCAAGGUGAGGACACCAGGACAGAGGGUCCACCACAAACAUUCCGGCCUAAGGACAGACACCCUCACAUAACAAAUUCAUCACUUUAAGAAAUUUUACAGCAGUACUAAAGUCCUGACUAACCAUCUGAAGUCCACAUGUCAGUUCCAAAGUUCCCUCAGGCUUCGACCAACCACACGCUCCCUCUGGC